CCAUCCCCGAACCGAAACCCAUAAGCAAUCGACCGCCAUAGAUCAUUCGAACAUCAGUCGCAAUCGAAAUAAGCAGCCAGCCAAGGAUGAGUGGGAUUUCAGUGAGCAACAAUGUUUUCUUUCUUCCGAAUCGAUCCAUCUGUGCAAACGCAAGGUACAAAAAAAUGGUUUAUUUGAAGGUUUGUUCACGAUAUUAUGCCAAUCAAAGUUAAGAGGGGUUGAAUAAAAUAUACACUUACCAUAAAGCCACCUAGAAUGCAUCCGAUUGGAGUGCUGGCCGAUGAUAACGAAGCUAUAAACGAACAAAAAGAAUGCGAUUAAAAUGCCAGUGAAAAAAUAAAACAAAAUUAAAUCGUCAUUAAAAAGCGCCAAUCACGUUGCAGUCACAUUUUUAUGUUGUUGAAGCGGUUCGUUGUCAAAAUUAUCGGUCACUCUUAAAUUGGUAAGCGGGACAAGAACGACGUCAAGCGGAAAGUGAACUCGAAACGAGUCACAUGUUUACUACAUUUUCCUCCAGCGAUAAGCGAUUUACUUUAUCAAUUUGCAUCGAAAACAUCAUUUAAUCAACAGAGAAAAUGGAAAAGUAAACGACAUCCGAACAUAUGAAGUGGCACUGUGGCCAGUGAGAAACUCCAACACACAAUUCAGCAAGUUGUAUUUGUCAUGUGCAAGGAAAGCAAUCGAUACUUACCAGCAGAUACAAUAGGCGAUGAUGUUGAGUUAAGAACAGUCGGUUGUUGUCGCAAAAUGGUGGUGCUGAUGGGUGAACCAACAUGUGCUGUGUUCGGUUGAGAUGAUGCGAUGCGAACUGUUUGACCACUAGAUAAAACGCGAACGUUUGAUGUUGGCGCAUUGACGAUACGAACGCCUUGCUGUUGUUGAAUUUGAGUGGGUUGUUGAACGGCCACACUUGAAACAAUAUUCUUGAAUUGCUGUGUCUUCGGUUGAGCGAUCGUUGUUGAUACCAAUGUUGGUAUCGGUGCCGAUGUUGUAAUGAUGAUUUGUCCUUGUUGAUUGUUAAUCGACGUAGCAACUGAAUUCGGCGAUAGAAUUGAUUGCGAUGCACUAACAUACGAAAUAGGCGUUGCAGUGCCUUGUACAGCACGGAUUGGAGUCUUUGGCGAUGAAAGAACAUGUCCUGAAAACCGAAUUUUAUAAACAGUGUUUGUUUGUUAGUGCAAAUGGAGGCAGUAGUCAGUAGCCAAUAGCCAAAUCGAUUGGCCGCUAUGUUGUGCACAAAUGAGCACGACUGACAAAUCAAACGGGAAAAUUAUCAUGUUACCUUCAUUGACGCUAACUGGUAUAGCUGAUACCGGUUGGUGUUGUUUCUUUGUAAUGGUGACUGGAACUGGUUGUGGCUGCGGUGGCUGUUCAAUUUUCUGCACCUCAAGUAGAUAGGCUUGAGCCGUUGGAGUUGCACUCCAGCAAACUUCAAGUGUCGUUGUCGAUGCACGAACCAAGGAGACGCGAGAUGCAGUCGGUGGCACUUCUACCUCCAAAUACCAUAAAUCUUUACAGCAAACCUAUUCGCACAGAAAAAUCAUAAGAUUCAAUUGAGUUUUUCCGAAAAGAAACAUGCCCGUAUAAGAAAAUAAAAUGCAAAAAUUACGAAUGGGGAAUACGAUGUGGAAGUGAAAAAAAAAUGUUCGAAAAUCAACAAUCAACACUUGGAAAGCUAAAUUCUAAAAUAAAGUGAUCGAAAAGCUGUUCUUAGCCAAACUUGUAGUCAAUGAGCGAAGCGAUGGUGAAUACAGUUUCCGUUCGAACACAUCCUUACAUCAGAACCAACCAGAAAUGGAAAUGUUCGCAUUGUGUUUGGAAAAUGUGCCCGCCAACAAUUCACGCAACGAAAACUUGUUUUGACGAAAAAAACAGAGCUCACCCUAACCUGGUUGUUCCAGGCUUUACGAUAACCAUCACGACCCGACCACACGUACAAACGUGUAUGAAUUCCGACAGCACAAUGACCAGCCCGAGCACGAGGUGAAUCAUCAUCGUUGGUUUCCAUUAUGAGCUCUUGCCAUCGCAUGUUUUCUGCACGUAAAAAGAAUUACCAAUGAGUGAAUCAAAAUCGAUAGCAAUCAAUCGACAAUUUGUGGCAGCUGUAGCGCAACAGCCAUAUCAAUAGCCAAAUACUCACCUAAAUCCAAACAAGCGAGUGUGUUGGUGCAUUUCCAUUCUUUUUCGUGUUGAGCUAGUUUCACUUCGUCGACGACCAACGGAACCCAUCCGCCAAACACGAACAUUCGAUGCCCGAUCAAAGUUGAACUGUGCAAAGAUCGAGGUAAUGGUGUUGGUCCAUUUGUGAUUGGUCUUGUCCACAUCAUUGUUUCGGUAUCCAGGAGCCACAAAUCACCCAGACGACAUCCACUCAUGCCGCCAUAAAUGACCAGGCUAGAUUUGCCCGUUUUCUUGCAUGUAUAUGCAACGCCAGUGUGCGAUUCACGCGGGGGCGGUUGAUCUCCAUAUGUUGUUGGCAAAUCCCACAUUUGCUGAUUGCCAACGAUCUCCAAAGUAUACAGGUCAUUGAGAUAUCUUGGAAUAUUAUUUUUUGGAUCAUCACUUUCGUUGGCCAAACCGCCGAAUAGGUAGAUUUUGUUGCCAACUUUUGUGAAACUAUGACCUAGACGAGGGCAUGGCGGCGGGCCGUUCUCCGGUGGUUUCGGCGAUAGUUUUCUCCAUUCCCACUUGGUUGCUUGCAAUUCAUACAGUUCAUUUGAAUAUUUUCCAUAUUCAACCAUGCCACCAAACACAUAAAUCCGUGUUCCAUCUACGACAAAACCGUACGCUGCACAUCCCGGUGGCACCUCGCCUUUCGUAGCUGGCACGCACCAUUGGUUUGUGGCUACAGAAAAGAAGGGAAAAAAGCAACGCAACACAUAAAACAAUUGACAAAAUUAACAAUAGGGAAAUUUCAUUGCAUUCGUAUGUAAAGAGGCAAAAAAGAGUCAUUCAAUUAAACUAUGCAAUGUAAAAUGACCCGCAUUCGCGCACUCACUCGCGCUCUAUGUGCUUGUUCAAUUGUUUCAUCGAAAUAAUUAAUCAUAAAAAUUGACUGUGCGCUCGAUUCAAGGUGAAGGGGGAUUUAGAUAUGGUAAUUUAAAAUACAUUCAAUACUCUCUCUCUCUCUCUCUCUCUCUCUCUCUCUCUCUGUAUGAAAUGUACAACGUAAAAACACAUCAGAUUAAAAUUGAAGGCGAGAGAGAGAGAGAGAGGAAGAGCGCGAGCUGCACUGCAACCAACGGAAUGCAGAAAAUAAAAACGUUUCAAAUACUAAAGCCAUAGCAACAAUAAUAACUGCACAUAGACAUCGGUAUAGGCAUUGGUUUGGUCGUUUGUAUUGUAGCUUUCGCUGUCGCUCACAUAUAGAGCAAACAAACCCAUACAUCCAUAGCGAUUGGCAUGAGUCUCUGAUUCGAGUCAAAUUCGAAAACGAAACGAGAUAGAAUGAAAGAGAGCGAAAAAAAAGAAAAAUGGCGACCGAAAUCGUUUAUAAACAAAAUUCACUUAUAUAAUCCGCCUGCUGUCAAGAGUUUGAAUGAAAUUCAAAGCGGCAGCACUGGCAGGCCACGGAAUACCGACAAAACAUCUCUCAUCGAGUCAGAUUUUGUAUCGCCAAAUGAACGAGACGACAGAACGCUGUCAAUGUCAAUGUAUGCGAAAUGAGCAUGCGCUAGUAUGAGUGCGGUUCAGCGGCUAAGAGAAAACGGAAUAAACGACGCGAGUAGAGUGUGUGUGCGAAUGAGACGCAAAAUUGGUUGGACGGGCUGCGCCACCAAACGACCAAUCCUACAACUGAAAUGCAAGCGACGCCAUUAUUAAAUUUUUUGAUUAAUUUUUUUUUUGAAAUACAUAUUUUGUGUAUUUAGAAGAUGUACAAAAAUGACUGAAAAUACACAUACAACGAUGAAAAGCGAUCAUCUCUUCAGGCAUGCCAUACACAAAACUAUCGAAUAUUGAAUAUAAUUUUCGGACAAAAUUCCACUGAAGUAUUCGGCGCUAAAAAUCAUUCGGGGAACUCGAACUGUCUUCAAAGUUUUGAUAGACGAUCUUGACAACCAGAACCUUAUAGGGCUCAUGAUUGAACGAAGAAUGAUUGGGAAAGCACUGAAAAAUCAAAUCACUGAUCGAGCACCGCAUUCACUAUCAUUAUCAGCAUUCUGUGUUGUCUUCCGUAAAAUUCGUUCAUUCGCUCAUUUUUCUUCUAUUCUCUGUUGCACUUUGUAGCCAAGGUACAAUAUCAAUAUCGCAUUAAUAUUCAAAUGAUAUUUAUCCUCCCCGAAUCGGGAUGUUGGGGCGACAAAAGUGGGGUCACAAUGGGAUUGAAUGAGAAUAAACGGCCGAUAGAUUGGCGAAACAAAUCAAUGCUACACUUACCCGUAUUGUAAACAUGAAGCUCAUCCACAAUUCCCUCAUUUCCACCACCAAAAACGACCAUCAAUUCUUUGAUCGCAACGGCACGAUGACCAUGACGGGGUCUUGGCUGUGGUCCUGUUGGAUUAAGCACUCUUUUCCACUUGAGCACUGAUCCUUCCAUUGCAACAUAUCACACACAACACCAACAAUUUGCUGUCAAAACUUUUUAUUUAUUUUUUUUAAUCUAUUCUCUCUGUCUCUCCUCUUUCCUUCGGUGCCGUUCAAUUGUGUUCUGUUACUCUCUGCACGAAACCAAGUCAAUUGUGCCAAAAUUAAAAUCAAACACAACGCUAAAAUAUUAUUUAAAAAUAUAUACGUACGUAUACAUACGUAUAUACAUAUAUAGAUCUAUAUAUUAAUUCGGGAGAUUUUCUCUAUUUGAAUUUUUAUUUUUCAGCCGUCCAUUUGGCUCGAUCGCUCACUCUCUGUGUGCACUUCUUUAGCUGUGCUUUACUUUACUUUAACUUCACUUCAAUUUUAAUAUUUUUCUUUUUGUGCUUAUAUUCUACUUCUUCUUCUUCUUAUUGCAUUUCGUACACUGAAACACUGUACAUUAUAAUUUUCUGACGGUCGCCAUUACAAGCCGAUAACGCACCAUUCGCACUGCUACACUUUCUCCACUCGCUAAUCUGACAACACACGUACACACGGACAUGGACAUACAGACGCGAUCCGAAUACGCGCUGCUCUGGCUUCGACGUCGGCUUCAAAAUUUCCGUCGGUCAACUGUCUCGAUGUAUGAAUCGCUGUAUUGGCGGCUUUGUUUUUGAAUGGCAAUGAGCAAUGCUCACAAAAUGUAAACACUGUUCGGCACAAUGGAUUUACGAACGAUUUUGUUGGCGAGGCAACUUUUAUUUUACUCACAAAUGAUAUUCACCAAAAUAAUUGCAAAUCAAUUUUUAUUCCUGUAUCACUUGCAUCACAUUCACGUAAUGAUUAAAUUUUUACCGCCACGAAUACUGAUGCUCAGUCAACACUUUUUCAUCAAUCGAAAAGAAAAUUUGCUGGAUUUUAUUUGAAUGUGGUCCAAAAUAGUCUAUCCACAGGUCACACUAUGGAUUCUUUUUUGGUGCACAACUAGAGUACAAUGCAAUUAUGAAAUUCAACUUGAUGGAAUUUUAUCGAAAACAAGUAGUCAUUGAGCAUAUUGAGUCAUAGACAAGAAGAAAGGGAAAUUUCGGUGGGUUUCUUUUCGAAAUCAAUCAAAUUGCAAUUGAAGCGAAUUGGAUUUCGUAAUCGGCUUCAAAUGUUCCAUUUGAUGCAUUUACGAAAACUACGUUUUUUACCUGAACCAAUUCUGUUGUAGUAAUAUUCACACAAUGACACAUUCAACCAUUCGCUUCAACUUCAGUUUGUAAUGGACACAAGUUUUAUUCGGCGUCUUUUCGCAUCGGCUUCCCGUUGUUGUUUCUACACACUAACACAUUCGCAACUCAUUUGGAUCGCCAUCAAUAUUGUACAGUCGAUACGAAGUAAAAAGGCGCGCACCCACUUUGUGCAACAUAACAUCACUCAAAAACCGCAUCAAUACAUGCAACAUAAACACACAAAAACCAUACCAGAUUCAAAAUAUUUCCAAUUCGAAACUGACUUUGUUGUGCAUUGUUAGAUAAUUUCAUUGAUAUUCCCAAUUUUUCUUUGUAAUAUUAUUUAAAAAAUUCCACCAAAUCAAUUCAUAUAAAAAUUAGGUAAAAUCAAUGUUUUAUUUUUUUGUAAAUAAAGAGAUCGGCUAAAGACGUUUCGACUGGAA